UUAACUCAAAUUUGUAUGGCGUUGGAACGUUUGCCUACGUUUGCCGUUAGGGGCGCUGUUCCAACUCCAUUCACAUUUGAGUUA
rnacentral:pre_miRNA from 1 species